UGCACUUAAUUUGGAAUUAAAUUGAGUGAAACUUGAGUUGGGAGAAAAUCCCAAUGUUCACAUACCAACAAAUCUGGAAAAUCUAGCUAUGUACCUUUGCUUUGAUGAUUCUUUAGAAGAUAGGAUCUGGGGACCUUAUGUAAGGCGAGCUUUUUCUGCAGACUUGACUAGCAGGGUAAAUUAAAGGCAAUUUGUCUCCUCCUUUCAUCCCUACUGCGCCGUUUUGCAGAACUCUUUUGCUAACUAGCAAUUAAGCUUCUUUUUUUCAUCCUGCCAGAGCAUUUUUAAAUAAUUCAAUUUAGCAUAUUUGAAGGAAUAUCAAAUAUGUCUGGAAAUAAAAAAAAACCCAGUUGCAAGAAACUUUUGUUAAAGUUAACAAAAAAAAUUCAAAGAAGCUUUACACAGUUUUCGAUCUUAUUCAAAAAACUGAAAAUUGACAAAAUUAAAAAUUACACUUUGUUUUGACUUUGGCGAUAAGUCAUGCAAUGAAUUCUGUUGUAAUUGUUAUUUCCGUACAUCAUGUACUGGCAAUUACAAACAAUUUGCAUAUAGUGUGCCCUCAAUCUGCAACAAGUUUUGUAAAAACAUGGGGCAUUUUUUGCUCAAUAUUGAUAGAUGUCUAAUGUCUUCUGCUUCUGUUGUUUUCAUCAUUAAAUGUAUGAGAAGUAAAAAUGUUUGUUCUACG
rnacentral:misc_RNA from 1 species